rnacentral:rRNA from 1 species
UGGGGGAUAUUGCACAAUGGGCGAAAGCCUGAUGCAGCGACGCCGCGUGGGGGAUGAAGGCUUUCGGGUUGUAAACCUCUUUCGCUAUCGAACAAGGCCCGCUUAGGGUGGGUUGAGGGUAGGUGGAGAAGAAGCGCCGGCUAACUACGUGCCAGCAGCCGCGGUAAUACGUAGGGCGCGAGCGUUGUCCGGAAUUAUUGGGCGUAAAGGGCUUGUAGGCGGCUUGUUGCGCCUGCUGUGAAAACGCGGGGCUUAACUUCGCGCGUGGAGUGGGUACGGGCAGGCUUGAGUGUGGUAGGGGUGACUGGAAUUCCAGGUGUAGCGGUGGAAUGCGCAGAUAUCUGGAGGAACACCGAUGGCGAAGGGAGGUCACUGGGCCAUUACUGACGCUGAGGAGCGAAAGCAUGGGUAGCGAACAGG